rnacentral:rRNA from 1 species
AGGGCCUGCCUCAAAGUCAGUGGCGGCACCGUCUGACCCUAAGCGUAGUACUACUCGCCGCUUCUGGAAUCGGUCGGCUGCCUGCCAGCCUAACCCCCACCAUCAAGGUUGACCUCGGAUCAGGUAGGGAUACCCGCUGAACUUAAGCAUAUCAAUAAGCGGAGGAAAAGAAACCAACAGGGAUUGCCUCAGUAACGGCGAGUGAAGCGGCAACAGCUCAAAUUUGAAAGCUGGCUCCUUUGGGGGCCCGCGUUGUAAUUUGUAGAGGAUGCUUCGGGUGCGGCGCCGGUCUAAGUUCUUUGGAACAAGACGUCAUAGAGGGUGAGAAUCCCGUAUGUGACUGGUUGCCUGUGCCCGUGUGAAGCUCCUUCGACGAGUCGAGUUGUUUGGGAAUGCAGCUCUAAAUGGGUGGUAAAUUUCAUCUAAAGCUAAAUAUUGGCCAGAGACCGAUAGCGCACAAGUAGAGUGAUCGAAAGAUGAAAAGCACUUUGGAAAGAGAGUUAAACAGUACGUGAAAUUGUUGAAAGGGAAGCGCUUGCAAUCAGACUUGCGCGGCGUCGAUCAGCCUGGGUUCUCCCUGGUGCACUCGGCGCCGCUCAGGCCAGCAUC